GCCCUCGUGGUGAAAUUGGUAGACACAAAGGACUUAAAAUCCUUGCCCGUAUGGGAGUGCCAGUUCGAGUCUGGCCGAGGGCACCA
rnacentral:tRNA from 1 species